UUAUUUGUAUAAGUAUGUCCCCGGCAAUCUUUGGGACAUACUUCUACUAAGA
rnacentral:miRNA from 1 species